ACACAUGCAAGUCGAACGGAGCUUAGAGAGCUUGCUUUUUAAGCUUAGUGGCGAACGGGUGAGUAACGCGUGAGUAACCUGCCCUAGAGUGGGGGACAACAGUUGGAAACGACUGCUAAUACCGCAUAAGCCCACGGUACCGCAUGGUACUGAGGGAAAAGGAUUUAUUCGCUUUAGGAUGGACUCGCGUCCAAUUAGCUAGUUGGUGAGGUAACGGCCCACCAAGGCGACGAUUGGUAGCCGGACUGAGAGGUUGAACGGCCACAUUGGGACUGAGACACGGCCCAGACUCCUACGGGAGGCAGCAGUGGGGGAUAUUGCACAAUGGGGGAAACCCUGAUGCAGCGACGCCGCGUGGAGGAAGAAGGUUUUCGGAUUGUAAACUCCUGUCGUUAGGGACGAUAAUGACGGUACCUAACAAGAAAGCACCGGCUAACUACGUGCCAGCAGCCGCGGUAAAACGUAGGGUGCAAGCGUUGUCCGGAAUUACUGGGUGUAAAGGGAGCGCAGGCGGGAAGACAAGUUGGAAGUGAAAACCAUGGGCUCAACCCAUGAAUUGCUUUCAAAACUGUUUUUCUUGAGUAGUGCAGAGGUAGAUGGAAUUCCCGGUGUAGCGGUGGAAUGCGUAGAUAUCGGGAGGAACACCAGUGGCGAAGGCGGUCUACUGGGCACCAACUGACGCUGAGGCUCGAAAGCAUGGGUAGCAAACAGGAUUAGAUACCCUGGUAGUCCAUGCCGUAAACGAUGAUUACUAGGUGUUGGGGGAUUGACCCCCUCAGUGCCGCAGUUAACACAAUAAGUAAUCCACCUGGGGAGUACGACCGCAAGGUUGAAACUCAAAGGAAUUGACGGGGG
rnacentral:rRNA from 1 species